GGCUAUGUAGCUCAGUUGGUUAGAGCACCGCACUCAUAAUGCAGGGGUCACAAGUUCAAGUCUCGUCAUAGCCACCA
rnacentral:tRNA from 1 species